CCUACGGGAGGCAGCAGUAAGGGAAUAUUGGUCAAUGGACGAAAGUCUGAACCAGCCAUGCCGCGUGAAGGAUGAAGGCCCUCUGGGUUGUAAACUUCUUUUAUAGGGGACGAAAAAAGGGCAUUCUUGCUCACUUGACGGUACCCUAGGAAUAAGCACCGGCUAACUCCGUGCCAGCAGCCGCGGUAAUACGGAGGGUGCAAGCGUUAUCCGGAUUUACUGGGUUUAAAGGGUGCGUAGGUGGGUUGGUAAGUCAGCGGUGAAAUCUUCGAGCUUAACUCGGAAACUGCCAUUGAUACUAUCAAUCUUGAAUCAUCUAGAGGUAAGCGGAAUAUGUCAUGUAGCGGUGAAAUGCUUAGAUAUGACAUAGAACACCAAUUGCGAAGGCAGCUUACUAUGGAUGUAUUGACACUGAGGCACGAAAGCGUGGGGAUCAAACAGGAUUAGAUACCCUGGUAGUCCACGCCCUAAACUAUGGAUACUCGACAUUUGCGAUAUACUGUAAGUGUNUGNGNGAGAGAUAGUAGUACCGACCGNGGAGUAAGUAGUAGCGAGAGUUAGUUAAGUACAANAGAGUAGAGGCGNGAGCGNGCGACGGACGACGACGAGGAGGAGG
rnacentral:rRNA from 1 species